UAGCCAAGAGGGGUUUAGCCACUCAUAUUCACAACAAAACAAAAGAAAAUGAAUUUAAACAUUCGAAACAAAAGAAAGAAAACACCUAAACGCUCCAAUGUUCCAAGUUGGACAGCAAGCACGUCCAAGCACUUUCCUUCCCUUCCUUUGCUAUGGCACAAGGUGUUGGUGAGUGUUUGAAGGUUUGUUUGUAUGGAGGAAUGGAUGUGUUUGGAUGAAGGUUGUAUUGAAUGUGGCGAAGAGUGGAGAAUUGUGUAGAUGAUGUGUGUGUGUGUUUUGGAUUGAUCUAUCUCUCUUAUGGUGAAAGGUGGAUGGAUGUAUUUAUAGGCUAGGGAGAGGAUGUAAUGGGUGGUGGUAAUGAGUGGAUGUAAUGGUAGGUGAAUGUGUUGGGUGGUUGAAAUGAGUGGAUGUAGUGGUAGGUGAAUGUGUUGGGUGGUUAUAAUGAGUGGAUGUGUUGGGUGAAAUGAGUGGAUGUAGUGGUAGGUGAAUGUGUUGGGUGAAAUGAGUGGAUGUAGUGGUAGGUGAAUGGAUGUGUUGGGUGAAAUGAGUGGAUGUAGUGGUAGGUGAAUGUGUUGGGUGAAAUGAGUGGAUGUAGUGGUAGGUGAAUGUGUUGGGUGGUUGUAAUGAGUGGAUGUAGUGGUAGGUGAAUGGAUGUGUUGGGUGAAAUGAGUGGAUGUAGUGGUAGGUGAAUGUGUUGGGUGAAAUGAGUGUGCUAAAAUGGUUAUUUAUAGGGAAAGGAUGAUGCACAAACUUCAAAUUUCGUCCAUUCCUUUUGCUCCAAGCAUAUGUUAUCCAUUCCAUGCUAAAAAAAUGCUCCAAAAUGAACUUCUUUGCCACAUUAACUCUUUGGACCUACAAACACAAGAAAAUAGCUUAAAAUACUAAAAUAAUUACGAACUAACAACAUAAAUGCCAAGAAACAAGCUAACUAAGCCGCAUAAAUAUGCUCCUAUCAAAAAGCAGCACACCAUUCAUUCCACCUACCAAAAGACGAGUGGUACAACUUGUACAUGUGAACUCCUAGCAUUCACAAAUAAUCAAAAACCCUCAAGCUUGACAACUCAACUAGGGGAGAACUUAUGCCCAACAAGAGUUAUAGUCACCAACAAAGUCUUAUUGCAUGCCAACAACAACUUCAGUGCAUGGCAUACGAAGAUCAAACUAUUCAGCCCCCUUGCAUCUGCUUCAGACAUUUCUCCUCUGUAACAAUGCAAACACUAUAACUCGUAGAAAGCUUCACACACUCUUGAUCAAGACAGUGUGAAGCAAAACCAAUUUAUGGUGCCAA
rnacentral:lncRNA from 1 species